rnacentral:rRNA from 1 species
GAGUUUGUCUGCCAGGAUAACCUGCGGCGAGCUAAUACGCAAGCGAGGCGAUAAGAGCUUUCUCCUUUGUCGUUAUCGGGGACGGGUGAGUAACGCGUUAUAACUAGUAUAGCACUGGGAUAACCGGAACCAAUAAUACGAAUGCUUUAUCGCAUGGUCAAUAGUAAAGCGCGGCGUCACUAUAUAUGGGCGCCGGUUUAGCUAGUUGGUAAGGUAACGGCUUCAAGCAACAUGCGAUCGCCUGAGAGGGUGUCGCCCGCUGAACUGUGGCGUCGGUCCACUCCUCGGGAGGCACCAGUAGGGAAUCUCCCAAUGGCGAAAGCCUGGCCACAACGUCGCGUAGUGAUGAGGUCUUCGAACGUAAAUCUGUUAUCAGGAAAACCAAUGUGUAAGUAUCUGUGACAUCUUUCGGUACCUAUGGGAUCUCGAGGGGUCAAAAA